rnacentral:rRNA from 1 species
CCUACGGGAGGCAGCAGUGGGGAAUAUUGCACAAUGGGGGAAACCCUGAUGCAGCGACGCCGCGUGAAGGAAGAAGGAUUUCGGGAUGUAAACUUCUAUCAGCAGGGAAGAAAAGGACGGUACCUGACGAAGAAGGCACGGCUACCUACGUGCCAGCAGCCGCGGUAAUACGUAGGGGGCAAGCGUUAUCCGGAGUUACUGGGUGUAAAGGGAGCGUAGGCGGUUUAUCAAGUCAGAAGUGAAAGCCCGGGGCUCAACCCCGGGACUGCUUUUGAAACUGUUGAACUUGAUUGCAGGUGGGGUAAGUGGAAUUCCUAGUGUAGCGGUGAAAUGCUUAGAUAUUAGGCGGAACUCCAGUUGCGACGGCGGCUUACUGCACUGUAACUGACGCUGAGGCUCGAAAGCGUGGGUCGCAAACAGGAUUAGCUACCCCUGUAGUC